UUAGCAGUUGGAUCCAGCUGGGUUCUGGAUUACUUCAAAUCAUCCCACUGACUUAAGAGGAACUGCCCAAUAAAAAAUUCCAUCAAAACUGCCCAGAUGAUUUCAGCAUUAGUCUUUAAAUGUCUUCUUUGGAGCUAUCUUCCUUAUAGAGGGAGAAUGACACCAGUAAGUAAUUUUGUGGACCAGCAAACAUCUCCAUCUACAGGACAGAGACAGCAAAAUGUAACACAGACAAGAUUUUAUUUAGUCUUCUAAUUUGUGCUUCUUCUAUAAUUAAAACCUAUACAUUUUAUCUUCAUUAGGCCAUGAAACUGCCUUUCUGUCAUGUAUCUAGAAGCAUGACCACUUCUGAAUCUAGAAGAAUCGAGUAACAAUUUGACAGCAACAAGUACUUUCCAAUAAUCCUGGAUUAGUGUGAAGUGUGAAACUUGCACAGACUGCGAACCUUGACAGUGGGAAAGAUGCUGCCAGAAUUAAGUUUUUCUCUACCACUUUUAUUUGGUUCUUCUUGUGAAUGGAUCUCUAAAUCAUUAAACAAAUCUCCCACAAUGCUUUUUCUUAUUCUAGACACCACCUGGUUGUAUUCAGAGGAUGAUGUAGGAUUGCUUAAUAAAAGUGAAUGCUGUCUGUAUAAUUCUUCUUCAUUUAUAAUUUGGAAGGUUAUCUGGAAGCCAAGUAGGAAGAAAACAAAUUUAAGGGAGGUCUAAUGAUUUAAGUAACCACUAGUACCAUAUGGAACUGGAUUUUAGUUUUAUUUCUGCUGCAAAGUAGGUGUAAGUGAAGUGGUAUAUGGUUUAUUUGAAGUAAAUAAUGCUUAUUCUGUGUAGGUAGUAGUCUUUUUACCUUGAAAACGAGAAUAAUUGUCUGUCUCACUGAAACAGAUGAUGUAGUUCAUCCUCAAAUAUUUUGUUCUUUCACUUCCCUACACAUAUUGAGUGCAUUUUAUGAUCAAAAAAACUUGAAA